GACCCGUGGGGGUCUGGACGUGGUGAGGGCAGUGCCAGGGUGGGGGGCGACAGGCAGCACCUCUGGGGGUACCUUUGGGGCCCCUUCCCCCCGUUGCAGGCAGCACUGCCUCGUGUGCUGCUCCCCCGGGGGGCAGGGCAGAGCAAUGUGGGGUGACCUACGGCCGGGGACACCCCUUGGUGCCCCCCCGGUAUACAGUAGCCCCUAUAGCUGCAUGGGGACCCCAGACCCCCUGGGUGGUUGGGCCUCUGUAGGUGGACGCCCACAGAGACCAGACCCCAGCCCACGUGGGCCUGACCCUGUGGGGACCCAGACCCCUAUGGAUGGGUGUGGCCCUAUGGAGAGCAGCCCCUGCAGGAGUCAGACCCUGGAGGGACCCCACCCCAUAGGGCCUGGACCCCAUAGGGCCUGGACCCCCUCUGGACCCCACCCCAUAGGCCUCAGCUCUCCUCCUCCUCUCUCUCCAGGUGCUGGAGGAAGCUCCUGGAUCAGUGACACUGGAACGGGAAUGGAGGAGGUAGGAGACCCUCGAGGGACAAGCCUGGGGACAAUAAAGCAGUGACCAAACCGUG